AAAUAUUAUAUUUUACAGAAUAAGAAAAAUGAAGAGUGUACUUGCUAUAGUUCUGCUGUUCGUGUGUCUUGUUGGACAAGGCUUCCCUAUCCUUUAGAUAUUCACUGCAAAUCUUCUCUAUUCUUACGACAUAGACAUCCUGUAGAUGUAGACCCCUCCCUAGCAAGCACCACUAAUUUAGUAUACUUAAUAGAAAAACAAAGGUAUGGUAUCCGUAAAUGGACAGUCUGUGAUGAUGACCAACGAUCAAUGUAAACGUGUCGUAAAAGGUUGCAUGUCCAACAAUUACAAAAAGGCUGUGCAAGCGGACAAGAAUUGUAAUGACUGUUGCAGACGAUCGGGUUGUGCCCGUGGUGAUUGUAAGCGCAGGCAUUGUGAUUGCAAAAGUUGUGGUAGAGGAUAAAAAGUCGUCAUCUGUUUGAGAUUCACAGCUUACUGUUAACGUACUAUGCUUAAUUACCGUUAUCAUUAUUCGAGACAUUCACUUGCAUUAUUCAAUAAAAUAAACUAACGAAUAUCAA